rnacentral:rRNA from 1 species
UACGAAGGGGGCUAGCGUUGUUCGGAAUCACUGGGCGUAAAGGGCGCGUAGGCGGCUUUAUAAGUCGGGGGUGAAAGCCUGUGGCUCAACCACAGAAUUGCCUUCGAUACUGGAGAGCUUGAGACCGGAAGAGGUAAGUGGAACUGCGAGUGUAGAGGUGAAAUUCGUAGAUAUUCGCAAGAACACCAGUGGCGAAGGCGGCUUACUGGUCCGGUGCUGACGCUGAGGCGCGAAAGCGUGGGGAGCAAACAGG